UUUCCGUAGGUGAACCUGCGGAAGGAUCAUUAUCGAAGGGCUUCGGCCCUAUCGUGAUAGAACCCUUGCCUUUUUUGAGUACCUUCUGUUUCCUCGGUAGGCUCGCCUGCCAAUGGGGACCUUUCAAAACCUUUGCAGCAACCGUCCACUUGUCUGAUAGAAAAUCAAAUAAUCAAAACUUUCAACAACGGAUCUCUUGGUUCUG
rnacentral:misc_RNA from 1 species